rnacentral:tRNA from 1 species
CGCAGAGGCAUUGGUGGUUCAGUGGUAGAAUUCUCGCCUCCCACGCGGGAGACCCGGGUUCAAUUCCCGGCCAAUGCAAGAGGGUCUUUUUCACCCCGCUGUUGCUCUUUAUCUGUCUUUUACGCUGAAAAUCAUACUGCAUAACCUAAUAGUGCAUUUAGGGGCUUGGCCACCACAAGGUAAAGUGACGACAACACUCACGAAAGUAGCGGCAGGAGACAUUCAGGAGACUAACUCAGGACCCC